CCGCGGCGACCCGGGCCGGGUUCUCGUCGGUGGUCUCGGCGACGUCGUACCCGGAGAUGCCGCCCAGCCCGUG
rnacentral:tRNA from 1 species